UCAUCGAUGAUCUCUUCUUCCUCAGAUUUUGACGACGAUCGCUCCUUCUCACAUCUCUUCUUCCUCCUCCGACGAUCUCUUUUUCCCCCAACGACGAUCUCUUCUUCUCUAUUCUGGGUAAGAGGAGAUUUUAACCCAUCUUUUAGCUUCAUCUCUGAUACGAUCUGCUACUGAUACUAUGGAUCUCCCAUCACUUGAAACACUUGCUGCUAUGGAUGCUGAGAAUGAGAACAUAGAGGUGCAGAUGGAAGGUGAAGAAGAAUCUCAUGAGCAAACACUAAGUGGCACUCAGCCAUUUCAACCGACAAACUGCAGCAGCAGAUGUCUACAAGAGAUAUGAGAUAGAAAAAGCUAAGGUGAUAGAGGUUUUGGUGAAUCACAAGGGUCGAGUGUGUUUUACAGCAGAUUUGUGGACAGCCCGAAGUGUUGUGAUGGGAUGUAAGUUCUUCAAAUUUUUCUCAUUAUUUGUCAUUCAAAAACAACAGCAAGUAACUUACUGGUUUGUGUCUUUGUAUAUAACAUGAUCUCUUUGAGUUUGAAAAUAGCCUCAAAUCUAGUUCAAGAAAUGCUAAGUCAAAUCUGGAAACCUAUUUGGAUGUUGAACCAAGACUAGAGAUGAAGACUUUUGAAGACAUGGAAGUUUUAAAUUUUUGGAAAGAAAAUCAGCAUCGAUAUGGUGAUCUUGCUUCAAUGGCAUCUGAUUUACUGAGCAUACAUAUCACCACUGUUGCAGCUGAGUCAGCUUUCAGUGUUGGAGGAAGAUUUUUGAGUCCUUUCAGAAAUUGAAUUCUUUCCAAAAAUGUGCAAGCGCUAAUUGCCACUCGAAAUUGGUUAUAAGACGAUUUGCAGAGUUUGAAGAUUACUUCGAUGAUGAAGAUAAUGAAUCUGCAAAAAGUAGCUCAGAAGUUAGAGACUCUAGCACAUGAAGGUAAAGCUUUCAUUUGUUUAUAAGAUCAAUAAAGUCAAGAAUGAGCAGGAAUAAACUGUAACGCCCACAUCCGUCCACGGUUAAUGGGCCACCCACACCCGCUCAAUCAGCCCGUGGGGCCCAUCCCAUCCGACGGGGAGUGCAUUAAUUUUCCAAGGCUCGAAAUCAUUGUUUACUGACCCUGCAAUCACCACAUGACUUUUCCUCGUGCUUUGGCCUCAC